AAACUCCGCAAUACGCGAAAGCGUGACGGGGGAACUCCAAGUGCGCUCGCGCAAGCGAGUGCUUUUGCAGAGUGCAAACAGCUCUGCGAAUAAAAGCGGGGUAAGACCGGUGCCAGCCGCCGCGGUAACACCGGCCACUUGAGUGGCGACCACUAUUAUUGGGCCUAAAGCGUCCGUAGCCGGUUUAGUAAGUCCCCUGUGAAAUCCUGCCGCUUAACGGUAGGGCUUGCGGAGGAUACUACUAGACUAGGAGCCGGGAUAGGU
rnacentral:rRNA from 1 species